rnacentral:snRNA from 1 species
UACUCCGUGAAUCGGAGGCGGG